rnacentral:rRNA from 1 species
AUUGAACGCUGGCGGCAUGCUUUACACAUGCAAGUCGAACGGUAACAGGCCUUCGGGUUCUGACGAGUGGCGAACGGGUGAGUAAUUCAUCGGAACGUGCCCAGAGGCGGGGGAUAACGCAGCGAAAGCUGUGCCAAUACCGCAUGUGAUCUGAGGAUGAAAGCGGGGGACCAAGCACCAAUGUUUGGCCUCGCGCCUCUGGAGCGGCCGAUGUCAGAUUAGGUAGUUGGUGGGGUAAAGGCCUACCAAGCCGACGAUCUGUAGCUGGUCUGAGAGGACGACCAGCCACACUGGGACUGAGACACGGCCCAGACUCCGACGGGAGGCAGCAGUGGGGAAUUUUGGACAAUGGGCGCAAGCCUGAUCCAGCAAUGCCGCGUGCGGGAAGAAGGCCUUCGGGUUGUAAACCGCUUUUGUACGGAACGAAAAGGCUCUGGCUAAUACCUGGGGCUGAUGACGGUACCGUAAGAAUAAACACCGGCUAACUACGUG